GACUCACCACCUUGGAAUUAAAGCUGGGAAAUGCUUUUGGAAAAACAGAAGAGGAGAAUAGCGUUGUGUCUCUGGCCUGGCAGGUCACAGCUGAAAUUAAUCACGAGAGAUUGAGCACUGAAGUGGAGGAGAAAGCUGAAACACUAGGAGAGGGACUGCUUGAAUGCUGGUGAGCCCAACGCCUCCUUCCAGAAAGAAAGAUGCAGGAUUUGCUUGAUGUUUUUAAGGAGCCAUGACUGAGCACAAAGGGAAUGGGGAGAUCUGCAGAAGACUGAAAAUACUGGAGACUGUAAAGUGUGUUGUGCAAGGGCUUCUGUUGGCCAGAAGGAGUGAAAUAACAGCUCAUUUCCUAAAAUGGAGAUAUCCCCAUAUUUUGUUCCUGGC